AUACGGUGAUCACCUUCACCACUUCGGCAUCCAUCCCAAUUAUAGCAAGUAGUGUGGACACGCUGUACAGAUGUCAAGCAUACGGGGAGGCUCUGGGCGCCAGGAAUGGUAGCCACGUGACGGUCACAGCAUAUACCCUUCAAACAACACAUUUGACAUCAAUUCAAUCUACCACAGCUGCAACGGUUGUGCCUACUGAGAUGGGCUUUACAUUUGCGGUGAAGGACGCUCGAGAUAGCUCACAGAAUGCCGUGAUUGGGCUCACAGUUGCUUUUUGCUUGUCAUUGGCUGCCAUCGUUGGUUUGGUUAUUGCUGUCUGCAAGAUGAGGAAGCCUGGACAAACGAAUGGAAUACAGUUGCCGGCGGACAACAACACGGAUUGCGACACCACGGACCCACUGAACGAAGAGAGUGUAACUUGAUAUUACCAAUUAACAAGCCAGUACGUAUGAAUAUUGCAAUCUGAAUGACAGAAGUUGAAAUUCACCACAUAUUGUUCCAUGGUGCCCACGACCGUCCGUUUUGAACCGCGCCACCAUAUAGGACACCAUUAUAACCGCCAGAGGGGCACUUAAUUUGUUGGCCUGGAAAAAUCGCCCCCCCCCCCUCUGCCUCCGGCUCCGCAUUCCUUCAAGACAUGUGCUGGGAUAUAUUGGCAUGCACGCUACCGUUUGUCUCUUUAUAUUUCCAAGGAGAUCCCGAAAAUCCGUCAUUAUUUUGGACAGUAAAGCGGGGGAGGGAGAGAUGUUUCCUAAAACAUUCCAUGGAGAAUUGCACCCGACUGUUGUACCUGGUAACUUUGAUACCUUUUGUAGCUUUUAACUAAGUUGUACCUGGUAACUUAUGUACCUGGUAACUUUUGUACCUUGUAACUUUUGUGCCAUACCUUUUGCACCUAUUUUUUUUACCUCGUAACUUUUGUACCAUGCAACUUUUAUACAUUUUGUAUCUAUCAACGUUUUUAACCUUGUACUGUUUGUACCACGCAACUUUUAUACCUUUUGUAUCUAUCAACGUUUUUAACCUCGUACUUUUUGUAUCACGCAACUUUUAUACCUUUUGUACCCGGUAUUAAACUUUUUUACCUCGUAACAUUUGUACCACGUAACAUUUAUACCUUUUGUACCUAUUAACGUUUUAUACCUCUUAACAUUUGUACCACGCAACUUUGAUACAUUUUGUACCUAGUAAUUUGUUUUCCCCCGUAGUAACGUUUGUACCACGUAGCCUUUUACGUGCAAUUGGGCGCUCUACAACAAUGCAACCCUUGCUAUCGAUCGCUGAGAUCUCACCAGGCUCCAGGUUUGAGUUAAUGUUGUCCGAAUUACUGAGGUCAAUCAAUAGUUAGUUCACUUACUGUUUGGGCGUUUCUUGUUCAGAAAAAGUGAUUGCAAUCCAUCACGAAAUUGGAAUUUUGUGUCAUUGCCUCUUAUUUUGUCUGUCCUUUCAGGCCAAGUAAAAACAAUUAACCACUUUUUCAUGCCCGCCCGCUCCAUUG